AGGAUGCUUAUCUCACUGAGCCAUUAUGAGGAUUAGGAGUUCUACAGUCCAGGUCUUAUGUAGGCCAAGAUAUGUGAACAACUUAAAUGCCCACCAAUGGAUAACUAGAUAAAGAAACUGUGGUGUGUAUACAUGUAUAUAUUAAAAUACUAUUCAGCUUUCCAAGGAUUAAAAAAAAUACACUUUAGGUACAAUGUACACUACUCGGGUGAUGGGUGCACUAAAAUCUCAGAAUUCACCACUAUACAAUUCAUCCAUGUAACCAAAAUCCACUUAUACCCCAAAAGCUAUUGAAAUUAAAAAAUAAAUAAAUAUUUAAAACGAAUAUUAUUCAGGUUUUAAAAAGGAGAUCCUGCUAUUUGUAAUAACAUAGAUGAAAUUGGAGGACAGGUUAAGUUAAUAAAAAUAAGCCAGACACAGAAAGAAAAAUACUGCACGAUCUCUUUUAUAUGUGGAUUUUUUUUUAAGUCAAAUACACAAAAAUGGAGUAGAACAGUGCUUACUAGAGGUGGCAGGGAAGAAAAGAACAGAUAGGAAAAGGUGGGUGAAAGAUUACAAAGUUGUAGUUAUGUAGAAUGAAUAAAUCUAGGGCUCUAAACUACAGGCAUACCUUGAAGACACUGCAGGUUUGAUUUCAGAUCAUUGCAAUAAAGCAAAUGUGGCAAUAAAGCAAGUCACAUGAAUUUUUUGGUUUCCUAGUGCAUAUAAAAUCAUUUACACUAUACUUUAGCCUAUUAAGUGUGCAAUGGCAUUAUGUCUACACAAACCAAUGUCCACACCUUAAUUUUAAAAUACUGUAUUGCUAAAAAAUGCUAAUGAUCAUCUGAGUCUUUCAGCAAGUUGUAAUCUUUUUGCUGAUGGAGAGUUUUGCCUCAGUGUUAAUGGCUGCUGACCAAUGAGGGUGGGGAUUGCUGAAGGUUCAGGUGGCUGGGGCAAUUUUUUAAAACAAGACAAUGAAGUUUGCCAAAUGGAUUGACUCUCCCUGUCAUGAAAGUUUUCUCUGUAGCAUUCAAUGCUAUUUGAUAGCAUUUUACCCACAGUAGAACUUCUUUCAGAAUUAGAGUCAACCCUUUCAAACCACUGCUUUAUCAACUAACUUUAUGUAAUACUCUAAAUCCUUUAUGGUCAUUUGAACAAUGUUCACAGCAUCUUCACCAGAAGCAGAUUGCACCUCAAGAAAUCUUUGUUCAUCCAUAAGAAGUGACUCCUCAAUUGUUCGUUUUAUCAUGAGAUUGCAGCAAUUCAGUCAUAUGCUUGGGCUCUGUUUAAUUCUAGCUCUGUAUUUCCGCAUCUGCAGUACUUCCUCCACUGUAGUCCUGAACCCAUCAAAUUAAUCCAUGAGAGUUAAAAAUCAGCUUCUUCCAAACUCCUGUUAAAGUUGAUAUUUGGACCUCCUCUCGUGAAUCACGAAGUAUGUUCUUACUGACAUUUAAAAUGCUGAAUCCUUUCCAGAAGAUUUUUAAUUACUCCACCCAGAUUUAUUAGAGGAAUCACUGUUUAUGGCAGCUAUAGUCUUAUAAAAUGUAUCCCUUAAAUAAUAAGACUUGAAAGUCAGAAUUACUUCUUAGUUCAUGAGCUACAGAAUGGAUGUUGUGUUAGCAGGCAUGAAAACAUUAAUUUCCUUGUAUAUCUCAAUCAGAGCUGUUGGGCAACUUAGGUGCAUUGUCAAUGAGCAGUAACAUUUUGAAAGGAAUCUUUUUUCUGAACAGUAGGUCUCAACAAUGGGCCUAAAAUGUUCAUUAAACCAUGCUGUCAAGAGAUGGGCUAUCAUUCAGGCUUUGUUGUUCCAUUCAGAAAGCUCAGGGAGAGUAUAUUUGAUAUACUUCCUAAGAGCCCUAGAAUUUUCAGAAUGAUAAAUGAACAUAGGCUUCAACUUAAAGUCACCAGCUGCAUUAGUCCCUAACAAGAGAGUCAGCCUGUCCUUUGUCACUUUGAAGUCAGGCAUUGCCUUCUCCUCUCUAGUGAUGAAAGUCCUAGAUGGCAUCUUCUUUCAAUAAAAGGGUGUUUCAUCUUCAUCGAAAAUCUGCUGUCUAAUGUAGCCACUUUCAUCAAUGAUCCUAGCUAGAUCUUCUAGAGAGCUUGCUGCAGCUUCUACAUCAGCAUUUGGUGCUUCACCUUGCACUUUUAUGUUAUAGAGAUGGCUUCUUUCCUUAAACUUCACGAAACAACUGCUACUAGCUUCAAACUUUUCUUCUGCAGCUUCCUCACCUCACUCAGCCUUCACAGAAUUGGAGAGAGUUAAAGCCUUUCUCUGAGUUAGGCUUUGUAUUAAGAAAAUGUUGUAGCUGGGUGGAUCUCCUAUUCAGACCACUCAAACUUUUCUCCAUAUAGGCAAUAAGGCUGUUUUGCUUUCUUGUGUGUUUCCUGGAAUAGAAUUUUUAGUUUCCUCCAAGAACUUUCCCUUUACAUUCACAACUUGGCUAACUGCUUGGCACAGACGUCUAGCUUUCAGCCUAUCUCAGCUUUCAACAUGUCUUCCAAGCUAAGCUUAAUAAUUUCUAGCUUUUCAUUUAAAGACAUACAGCUCUUUCUUUCACUUCAACACUUAGAGGAUAUUGUAGGGUUAUUAACUGGCUUAAUUUCAAUAUUGCUGUGUCUCAGGGAAUAGGGAGACCCAAGGAGAGGGAGAGAGAUGGGGGCACAAGCUGAUGGAGCAGUCAAAACACACAUAUUUACUGAGUAAGUUUGUCAUCUUAAAUGGGCAUAGUUCAUGCAGCCUCAAAACAAUUACCAUAGUAACAUCAAAGAUGACUAAUCACAGAUCACCAUAACAGAUAUAAUAGUGAAAAAGUUUAAAAUAUUGCCAGAAUUACCAAAAUGUGAAACAGAGACAUGAAGUCAGCACAUGCUGUUGGAAAAAUGGUGCCCAUUGACUUGCUUGAAGCAGGGUUGCCACACAAACCUUUAAUUGGUAAAAAACAUAAUAUCUGUGAAGUGCAAUAAAACAAGAUAUACCUGUCCAGCAUGAAGACUAUGGUUAAUCAUAUUGUGCUGUAUACUGCAAAUUUCCUAAGAGAGUAGAUUUUAGGUGCUCUUACGACAUUAAAAAAGGUAAUUAUGUGAGACAAUGGAUAUAGUAAUUGGCUCGACUGUAGUAAUUAUUUCACUAUGUCAAAACAUCAUGUUGUAUGCCUUAAACAUAUACAAUUUAAAAAUUAGGAGAUUUUUGGCAAGAUAGAGGAAUAGAAGUCUCUACCAAUCAUUCCCCAACAAGGACACCAAUUUAACAACUAUCUACACCCAAAAAUCACCUUCAUAAAAACCAAAAAUUGUCCGAGUGCAGUGGCUCCUGCCUGUAAUUCCAGCACUAUGGGAGGCCGAGGCGGGCAGAUCACCCAAGGUCAGGAGUUCAAGACCAGCCUAGCCAACAUGGUAAAACCCCAUCUCUACUAAAAAUACAAAAAUUAGCUGGGCAUGGUGAUGCGGGCCUGUAAUCCCAGCUACUCAGGAGGCUGAGGCAGGAGAAUCACUUGAACCCAGGAGGCAGAUGUUGCAGUGAGCCAAGAUCGCACCACUGCACUCCAGCCCAGGCCACACAGCGAGACUCUGUCUCAAAAAAAAAGCACUCAGUGUACCUGGCUUUAAAGAUUAAAAACUAAAUACAUCAAAAUACAUACUUAAAUAAUGGAAUGAUGUAUUUGAAGCACUCUAUACAUAGAGAGCACUCAAAAAAUGGUCGCUGUUUCUUCAUCUAUAAGUUGGGGAUAAUAAAAUACCCACCUCACAGAUAGUGGUGGGGACCACAUUAGUGAAUGUGUAAGGAAAUAUACAAGCACGGCAUCCAGUGCUUCAUCAAAAUCAAGAGACAUUUACUAUAGAUGAGCAGGUGUGUGUGUGUGUACACACACAUGUGUCUGCAAGAGUAUGUUUAGUUUAUUGUAUUUUCCAAACCAUCAUACAGACUGGAAAAGAACUAACUUGUUACUUUGGGAAAGGCAGGAAAUUAAAACGUCUAGCUUUGCCACAUGUUUGAUAGCCUAUAUGGUUGACAUAGGCUAAAAACAAACUAUGUAAGUAAGAUAGUAAACAUAGUAAAAUUCCCUAGGAAGCUAUGAAGUUGCAACCAUCUAGUCUGUAAGGCAAGUUCAUUUAUUCUCAUGGGUGUCUAUCUCAUAACUUUAUCAUCACACUCUGUAAGAUUCAUCACACUUUGGUUCCUCCUUCCUCGCUGUGAGAUUCAGGCUUGCCCACCCUGGCUCCUAAUCUCCUCACAUAGUUUUCUUUUCCUAAGCUUUUCAAUACAACACAAAUUAAAAACGAUGCAUGAACAUUUGCUUAAUUUUAAUUACAAAGUUUGAGAUUUACUGCGACUUGAGAUUGGCUUAAAGUCUUUUCAAACUAUUAACAGGUCAGAUAUUCCUUCUAAAGCCCUCAUCUUGAGAAGAUAGAAUUCCUCAUUAACAGCAAGCAUUCUUCUCUCAAACACGAGAUAAAUUAGAUAGUUGAUUGUUGUUGUCCGAUGAAACAGUUCAUCAGUAAUGCCCAUUGCUUGAAAUAUAGACCUGACCUGAAUGAAAUUAUUAUGGAAGACUUGAAUACCUAGUUUUUUGGUGCUAAUAUGUAAUAAAAUAAAUCUUGAUUCACAGAGUUUUGAAUUCUCUCUUUGCUUUUGUCCACCAACAGAUAUUCAAGUCAUUAUUGUAAGUUUAGCCACCAUAGAAUAGUC
rnacentral:lncRNA from 1 species